GGUCAUUUUGCCCUGGUGGGCCUGUGCCUCAAAAAUGGGGUUUCUUCCCUUGUGAGGAAGACCCAUGAAUUAGUAACGGAAUUGCCAGGAAUGCUAAAAACUAUCUAAAUGCCAUGUAUUGUUUUCAAGCUGUUACUCCUGGAAGGGGCUGGGUUGGCAUUGUUUUAGAGGUUAGGAGCCAAACAUCAGCUCAUCUAUUCUCCAGCUGUUGUUUGUCCUCCAUCUUCCUGCAAUAGUCAGGCACAGGGUCUUAUAAAAAUGGGUUUGUGCUGCUGUAUGUUUCGCAUCACCAUCCUGUGGUCACCUGAUCUCAGCGUCUAGGUCAACUUUGAUUCCUUUCUUCUUGCCCUGAUGGCCAGUGACAUACACAGAUCCCAUCGACUCUAA
rnacentral:lncRNA from 1 species